rnacentral:rRNA from 1 species
UACGGGGGGAGCAAGCGUUGUUCGGAUUUACUGGGCGUAAAGGGCGCGUAGGCGGCCUCUGCAAGUCGACUGUGAAAUCUCCGGGCUUAACCCGGAACGGUCAGCCGAUACUGCAGGGCUAGAGUGCAGAAGGGGCAACUGGAAUUCUCGGUGUAGCGGUGAAAUGCGUAGAUAUCGAGAGGAGCACCUGCGGCGAAGGCGGGUUGCUGGGCUGACACUGACGCUGAGGCGCGAAAGCGUGGGUAGCAAACAGG